rnacentral:snoRNA from 1 species
UGGAAGAUUGAUACAUGAAAAUGAUCAAGUUACACAAUUAUCAUCACCAAGUCUUCCAAUAAAAAAAAUGCUUUCUGAUGACUGUAAAUUGUCAAGCAAUAAUUUACAGACAGAUACGAAGCAAACAUUU